AGCGAACGCUGGCGGCAGGCCUAACACAUGCAAGUCGAGCGCCCCGCAAGGGGAGCGGCAGACGGGAGAGUAACACGUGGGAACGUACCCUUUGGUUCGGAACAACCCAGGGAAACUUGGGCUAAUACCGGAUAAGCCCUUACGGGGAAAGAUUCAUUGCCGAAGGAUCGGCCCGCGUCUGAUUAGCUAGUGGGUGGGGUAACGGCCCACCAAGGCGACGAUCAGUAGCUGGUCUGAGAGGAUGAUCAGCCUCACUGGGACUGAGACACGGCCCAGACUCCUACGGGAGGCAGCAGUGGGGAAUAUUGGACAAUGGGCGCAAGCCUGAUCCAGCCAUGCCGCGUGGGUGAUGAAGGCCCUAGGGUUGUAAAGCCCUUUCGGCGGGGAAGAUAAUGACGGUACCCGCAGAAGAAGCCCCGGCUAACUUCGUGCCAGCCGCCGCGGUAAGAC
rnacentral:rRNA from 1 species